rfam:Pan troglodytes isolate Yerkes chimp pedigree #C0471 (Clint) chromosome 16, whole genome shotgun sequence.
GCUGGGCGUGGUGGUGCACACCUGUAGUCCCAACUACUCAGGAGGCUGAGGUAGGAGGAUCGCUUGAGCCCAGGAAUUAGAGGCUGCAGUGAGCCAUGACUGCACUGCUAUACUCCAGCCUGGGUGACAGAGUGAGACCCUGUCUCUU